rnacentral:rRNA from 1 species
GGCGGACGGGUGAGUAACACGUGGAUAACCUACCUAUAAGACUGGGAUAACUUCGGGAAACCGGAGCUAAUACCGGAUAAUAUAUUGAGCCGCACGGUUCAAUAGUGAAAGACGGUUUUGCUGUCACUUAUAGAUGGAUCCGCGCCGCAUUAGCUAGUUGGUAAGGUAACGGCUUACCAAGGCAACGAUGCGUAGCCGACCUGAGAGGGUGAUCGGCCACACUGGAACUGAGACACGGUCCAG